rnacentral:tRNA from 1 species
AGCUCGGUGGUGCAGUGGAUAGCAUGUGGGGCUCAUAUCAAAUAUGUGGCACCCCAAGGUCGACGGAUCGAAACCGUCCUGAGCUA